AUUGAACGCUGGCGGAAUGCUUUACACAUGCAAGUCGAACGGCAGCACGGACUUCGGUCUGGUGGCGAGUGGCGAACGGGUGAGUAAUAUAUCGGAACGUGCCCAGUCGUGGGGGAUAACGUAGCGAAAGCUACGCUAAUACCGCAUACGAUCUACGGAUGAAAGCGGGGGAUCGCAAGACCUCGCGCGAUUGGAGCGGCCGAUAUCAGAUUAGGUAGUUGGUGAGGUAAAGGCUCACCAAGCCGACGAUCUGUAGCUGGUCUGAGAGGACGGCCAGCCACACUGGGACUGUGACACGGCCCAGACUCCUACGGGAGGCAGCAGUGGGGAAUUUUGGACAAUGGACGAAAGUCUGAUCCAGCCAUUCCGCGUGCAGGACGAAGGCCUUCGGGUUGUAAACUGCUUUUGUACAGAACGAAAAGGUCUCUAUUAAUACUAGGGGCUCAUGACGGUACUGUAAGAAUAAGCACCGGCUAACUACGUGCCAGCCGCCGCGGUAA
rnacentral:rRNA from 1 species